GAAUUUAAAAACGUUCACCUGAUACCGAUUAAAAGCACCAAAGUUAUAAGAGAAGAGACUCCCUUUAGCGACUUACUCCCGAAACAUGUUCAAGACGUGCUGGUUCCUGCCUCUCCUUCUCCUGGCCUCUGGCCAAGAGUCCUGCGAUUUCCUGUGUCCUUACCACAUCGACCCCGUGUGCGGAUCCGACGGCGUGACUUAUCCGAAUCUCUGCGUUCUGGAAUUGGCCGACUGCUUGAGCGAUGAAGACAUUACACUGGCCCACCCGGGAGCCUGCGAGGCCAACGGGGAAGCGUGCGACACGGUCUGUUCCACGAACUACGACCCCGUGUGCGGCUCCGACGGCGCCACGUACCCCAACCUGUGCGAGCUGGAGCGAGCGAGCUGCCUCAGCGAAGAGGACAUCACGGCGGCCUACGAGGGUGAGUGCAAAGACUGCGGUUUCCCUUGCCAGGACAUCUACGACCCCGUGUGCGGCUCCGACGGCGCCACGUACCCCAACCUGUGCGAGCUGGAGCGAGCGAACUGCCUCAGCGAAGAGGACAUCGCGAUGGCCUACGAAAGUGUGAGUGCAAAGACGCAGCGAAGGACGACUGUGGUUUCCCUUGCCCGGACAACUACGACCCCGUGUGCGGCUCCGACGGCGCCACGUACCCCAACCUGUGCGAGCUGGAGCGAGCGAGCUGCCUCAGCGAAGAGGACAUCACGGCGGCCUACGAGGGUGAGUGCAAAGACUGCGGUUUCCCUUGCCAGGACAUCUACGACCCCGUGUGCGGCUCCGACGGCGCCACGUACCCCAACCUGUGCGAGCUGGAGCGAGCGAACUGCCUCAGCGAAGAGGACAUCGCGAUGGCUCACCCGGGCGAGUGCAGCUCCUGUGACCUUGGCUGCAGCGGCCUGUGGGACCCCGUGUGUGGCACGGACGGCGUGACCUACUCUAACCUGUGUCAACUUGAGAUCGCCAGUUGCCUCGGGGGAGAUGUUAGCCUGGCGCACGAGGGACCCUGCUGACCGGCCGCGGCGACACCACGUCUGGAACCCCCUUCCUCUCUUAAAAAAAAAAAAAAAAAAAAAAAAAAAAAAAAA
rnacentral:misc_RNA from 1 species